UGCCCUUUCUGCAAUCAGACCUGGUUUCC
rnacentral:piRNA from 1 species